rnacentral:rRNA from 1 species
GAUGAACGCUAGCGGGAGGCCUAACACAUGCAAGCCGAGCGGUAUUGUUUCUUCGGAAAUGAGAGAGCGGCGUACGGGUGCGUAACACGUGUGCAACCUGCCUUUAUCUGGGGGAUAGCCUUUCGAAAGGAAGAUUAAUACUCCAUAAUAUAUUGAACGGCAUCGUUUAAUAUUGAAAGCUCCGGCGGCUAGAGAUGGGCACGCGCAAGAUUAGCUAGUUGGUGAGGUAACGGCUCACCAAGGCGAUGAUCUUUAGGGGGCCUGAGAGGGUGAUCCCCCACACUGGUACUGCGACACGGACCAGACUCCUACGGGAGGCAGCAGUGUGGUAUAUUGGUCAAUGGGUGCUAGCCUGAACCAGCCAUCCCGCGUGAAGGACGACUGCCCUAUGGGUUGUAAACUUCUUUUGUAUAGGGAUAAACCUACCCUCGAGAGGGUAGCUGAAGGUACUAUACGAAUAAGCACCGGCUAACUCCGUG